rfam:Saccharothrix sp. ALI-22-I Contig71, whole genome shotgun sequence.
GGAACCCGCGCGGGAGAGACCUCGGUGUUCGUGCCGAGGCGCCGAAGGAGCAAGUACCCCGCACACUCUCAGGCAGCGAGAACCGCUCGGGUGAG